CAUGCUUUAUUUCUUUCAUUGCUGGCAUGUGGGUUUGCAAAAGAGGUACUUAGAAGUGGUACUCUUCAGUUGUAUGGGAGAAAAUACAGAGGUCACCUCUCUUCAACCAGCUUGACUGUGUGUAGCAGUCACUGAGAGCUGAGAUGCACAGUUCCAGAAAUGUGAGGAGGAAAGCAGACAUCUCUGGCAGCCGGAGCCGGACAUUCCUCCCAUAUAAUUCUCACGUUGCUCUUUGAAAGUGAACAAAGGGGAUGGGGUUUCAGAUCGGCUCCAUCCUUGGAGGGGCUAUUCUCAGGGUUGGCCAAGACUUUCAAUGCACAAGGAGACCAGAACCUUACAGCCAUCUCAGCUGGACACCGCACCCCCCACCCGCCAAAGAGAGUCCAUCUUUUCAACACAAAUGACAUUUCUUUCCAUGAUCCUGCCCAAGUGAACACAGUGUCCUCCACACUGGUGUAGAUGAGUGGGGCUCUUAGUAGGAAUCUGCCCUGUGGGCUGGUGCCAAAUUGAAUCAGAGCCAAACUCCCCCUUAGUGAAAUCACAAAAAGAGAUAUAAGCUGUGAACAACCAGCCCUCUCCCCGACCAGCAGCUGAAGCUGGAUAUUGAUGGUAAAUGUAGGGAGGAUAGAAGCAUCUCUGACAGACAGAUACUUGUUUUAUAUAGUAUUUCUCUUUAACCGACACGCUUUAGGUCCUUACCCUGUGCCAGGCACUGUCUUGCCACUCUGUGUAUAUUAACGCUCCUGGUCCUCACAACAGCCCUAUGACGAGGACAUUGUUUUUAGAAAAGAGGAAACUGAGCUCUGAGAGGCUGAGCAGUGUGUCAGCCACAGAACCAGGCUUUUAGGGUUGCAAGGAUCCAGCCAGCAGCACCAAGCUAACUAGCUCUCUCUCAGGCCAAACUCAGAGAGCAGGUUUAGCCCCUGCCUUACCCAGCAAGCUCCCUCCAUGUUGCGGUCAUUCUCACCAUCCCUCGAAGGAUCCUCAGAUGCCCCUCACUCCCAAAUGGCAUGUGCAUGUGGCAUCUGCUGAGCUUAACGUUCUUCUGGUGGACUCUGGUGUCUUGGGCCUGUGCACUCACACUUGGGCUCCAUGGGGGUGCAGGCAUCCCAGCACUUGGCACAGAGAGCCCCUCACCAAGACACUUGCCCUUUAUUCAGUCAGAGCCUGCAGCAGCACUAGGGGAGGUGAAGAAUUCUAAUCAUGACCUUCUAAUUCCACCCCAGACACAAAGUCCUAGAAACCUCCCCAUGAUAUAAGAGCACACAGAAGCGUAGCAAGUCAUGAAAAUAUAUCUGUAGUGAGACAAAGAAGGCCUUCUGCUGGGUGGCCAUCAGAGUCCUCCCUGCUCUUAGCUCUUGUCUCCUCCCCCCACCACCUGGCACACAUACAGAGCAUUGCAUGGGCAAAGAACAGACCAGAUUUCAUGUUUUGGAUCCAAGCAGCUAUGGUCAGAGUGCCCAUGGCAUGAGCCAUAGCCAGCCCCUGACACUGAGAAUCCCCAGGACUUACAAUCCUGGGCUGCCUGCACGAUAACGGUAAUUAAAGGUAGCUUGUCUCUUUGUAUUGUCAUCUGUUAGUUUAAAGCCAGGGUAAUAAUCCAUUGAUUAUCAUCUAAGAGGAAAUGUUUAUUUUAUAUUCCUUCUUUGGUCAGUCAGUUCAUUGAAUGAUGCAACAUAUGUUUACUGAGUGUCUAGUAUGCACUGAAGAGAUACUAGUGAAACAAAAUCACAUUCUAGCAGUGGCCUGUGGGAUGUGAAGUACCCAAAAAAGAUGAUAGAUUGCUAGAUUAGAUAGAUGACAGGCAGGCAGACAGACAGACAGAGUUUGAGAUAGCAAGGGAGUGAAAGGAGGAGAUGAUAUAUUAUGGCAGGCGGUGGUCAGUGCUGUGAAGAAAAAUAAAGCAAAGUAAGGGUCACAGAGAGGAGAUGGGAGAAGAAAUACCAAUUCAUAAAGAGUUUUCAGGAAAAGGACCUUUGAAACUGUUGAUAGGUUCAUGGGGUGAGAAAAUACUCCUGUAUUCCACUCCAUGAAGAAAAUGGCACCAUCUAAAAUGAAGACUCUGGUUCUGGGCACUGCUUUGAACUGUUAAGUCUCUCUGAGCAGAGAGAGCAUGACCCCUAAGCACAAGACAGCUUCUGCCCGGAGACAGUGUAAAAGGCUGGUCUACUAACCUCACAAGGUAGAAUAAGAAAAACACCAGUGGCAAGCGCAGCAGGAAGGGGUAUGUGCAGUGACCACCACCAUCCCCAGCAACCCUGAGCUUCAGGAGGAGGCUGCAGGCUGCAGAACUGUAGGGAAGCUCUACGUCACCUCCCUGAGCCCAGGCAGCUCACCUGUAGGGCAAGGACACCUGUGGCACCAAGCUGCUCUGUGGGUUUGGUGGAAUGAUGAUCAGUGACAUCGGCAACGAUGACAUCAGUCACCAAGUGGGCAGUGGCUCAGUGCCCGAAGCCAUUUUCUGCCAGCAAGUAUUCAUGGCGACUCCAUAUGGAAACCUGAGAAAGAGCAGUGGGUGUUCAGACAGGUACAAGUGUGCCAUGUUUGCGGGUCAGGAAAAGGGCCUAUUUGGAGCCUAGGGAAGGCAGAGUGUGGCUGAGAGAGAGCUCUGGUUGGAAGCAGAUCAUGGUGAGGAUUUGGGUGAAAUGGGGAGCCACUGGAGAGUUGCAAGCUAUAGAGUAACAUUACCUAAUUUAUACUUUGGGAAAUUUACUCCAACUACCCGGGGGGCGGUGGGGAGGCACCCUCUGGAGACAAGAUGGUGGCAGGGAAACUAGCUCGGAAGUCUAUGGUGAGGCAUGAGUUGAAUUUGGGGCAGUAACAAUGAUAAGAAAUGGUUGUCAGAUGUAGAAUAUUUUUGGAGACGGUGCCAAGAGGAUUUGCUGAUGAACUAGAAGUGAGGGUGACAGAAUAAGAUAAAUCAUAGAAGAUUCAAGAUUUUUGUCUUGACCCAUAUAAAUGGGUCCUGGCAAUACAAAUGAGUACAAAUCAGUCAUGAGAACUGAGGAGGGUUCGUUUUCAGAGCAUAGCCAGCGUAUUAUCUAACAUAUUCUAAAGUCUACCCUGGUGUGUCAGAUCCAGAAACUUGGUAAGGAGGCCAAAAUACAUUGUGGGAUUUUAUUUUCAUUUUUUUCAAUUCAAAGCCUGAUCAGCCAUCUAUUAGUCACCAGCCUCUUUGCUAGGCAGCUUUUGUCACACACAGCCGUACUCAGCCUGCCUGAGGAACCCAGCCCAGCUGUCCUACAGAGCCACUGCCCCUGCCGGUGUCACUGCAAGAGAAAGCCCUGAUCAGCUCCAUCUAGGACCUCAGAUGUAGUGACCCCGGAGUCCUGGAUUGCAAUGCCCAUCUCAUGUUACCCUCAGUCUCUGUGAACUUGCAGCUGACACCUGGGAGCUCCAUAGCUCGGUGGUAGUCAUGAUCUUGCAUUUGGUGAAGUCAGGCCAAUCUCCUUUUAUUUAUGUGAAGUAAGACAUUUAUGCCCUCCUGAUCCAGCUGCUCUUUCCUGCAGGGGAAAUAUCACUCUGCAUUUAAAUGGAAACCUUAAGACUGGACCUGAGCCUGAAUCUCCAAGUGAGAAAUAAACAAACGUCAUUAACCUUUCCGGAUAGCAUGCAGACCGGUUUGGGGCAACAAGAGAGCUCAUGUACCAAAUGUCUGGCUUUUACAGUCAAAUGGCAUAGAGGUUGGCCUGGGGCUUUCCUCCCCUUGACCCCCUUGACUCAACCAAGGGACGGCUUAUGUUUACGCAGCAGGAAGGGGCACUCUCUUUCCUGCAGUGGAUAUACAUGAGCUGCCACUCUUCAGGAGAUAGGGCAAGAAAAUAGCUUGGGUGUGCUUUAUUUGUUUGUCAUUUUUUUCCCCAACUCAAACUGUGGCUGCAGUUGGGGCGUAGAAAAUCAGAAUUAGGGUACUUGAUGCAGUAGCACCCAGUGGGGGGAUGCAGGGCGAGGUCAACUGUUAACAGCAUGGGACCCCUAGCUUUCAUCAUGUCAAGAUCUUGGUUAUUAUACAGUAAACCUUGUUUUUUGCA